rnacentral:rRNA from 1 species
AGCGAACGCUGGCGGCAGGCCUAACACAUGCAAGUCGAACGAACUCUUCGGAGUUAGUGGCGGACGGGUGAGUAACACGUGGGAACGUGCCUUUUGGUUCGGAAUAACUCAGGGAAACUUGUGCUAAUACCGAAUGUGCCCUUCGGGGGAAAGAUUUAUCGCCAUUAGAGCGGCCCGCGUCUGAUUAGCUAGUUGGUGAGGUAACAGCUCACCAAGGCGACGAUCAGUAGCUGGUCUGAGAGGAUGACCAGCCACACUGGGACUGAGACACGGCCCAGACUCCUACGGGAGGCAGCAGUGGGGAAUCUUGCGCAAUGGGCGAAAGCCUGACGCAGCCAUGCCGCGUGAAUGAUGAAGGUCUUAGGAUUGUAAAAUUCUUUCACCGGGGACGAUAAUGACGGUACCCGGAGAAGAAGCCCCGGCUAACUUCGUG